UAGGGAAUCUUCGGCAAUGGGGGCAACCCUGACCGAGCAACGCCGCGUGAGUGAAGAAGGUUUUCGGAUCGUAAAGCUCUGCUGUAAGAGAAGAACGUGUGUGAGAGUGGAAAGUUCACACAGUGACGGUAACUUACCAGAAAGGGACGGCUAACUACGUGCCCG
rnacentral:rRNA from 1 species